UACGGGGGGGGCAAGCGUUGUUCGGAAUUACUGGGCGUAAAGGGCUCGUAGGCGGCCAACUAAGUCAGACGUGAAAUCCCUCGGCUUAACCGGGGAACUGCAUCUGAUACUGGAUGGCUUGAGUUUGGGAGAGGGAUGCGGAAUUCCAGGUGUAGCGGUGAAAUGCGUAGAUAUCGUAAGGAAGACCAGUGGCGAAGGCGGGUCUCUGGACAGUUCCUGACGCUGAGGCACGAAGGUCAGGGGAGCAAACGGG
rnacentral:rRNA from 1 species